ACUGCAGUAGUGAAAAUGAAGCGCACGAUGGGCGGAAGCUAGGAAGACAAACAUAAAGAUGAAGUGCUUAAUUCAAGGUCACACAAUGUCGGGGAUGGACCUCCAGAUUUCCUUACUGACCUGCAUUAUCUUGUGGAUACCUGAGUGAAUUCCACACCACCCAUUUUAUAGAUGAAACCACUGAGACAUGGAGCAAUUGACUGAGUAGUCACUGCCCCACCCCUGCCUGGAGCCUCACACAUGACUCGCCUCCUCUCAGUGACCACAGGAAAACAAGCUCAGGGCUCCCACUGAUUGUACAUUAUGGUGAGACGUGGUCUUGUAACACAGUGGUUAAGAAUGUGACUUUGGAGCCAGCCUGCUAGGGGCUGAAUUCUGACUCAGCCAUUUACUAACUGUGUGACCUUAGGCUGGAGUGCAAUGGCAUGAUCUCGGCUCAUCACAACCUCUGCUUCCUGGGUUCAAGCGAUUCUCCUGCCUCAGCCUCCCGAGUACCUGGGACUACAGGCACUCGCCACCAUGCCCGGCUGAUUUUUGUAUUUUUAAUAGAGAUGGUUUCACUAUGUUGGCCAGGCUGGUCUCGAACUCCUGACCUUGUGAUCUGCCCACCUCAGCCUCGAAAAGUGCUGGGAUUACAGGCGUGAGCCACUGCGCCCAGCCUUGUAUUUUUUUUCAGUUUGGGUAGCUGUCCCUAAUUCAUUUGUUAAAGGAGAAGCAAGAGCAAGAACCUUUAAUCUGUUCUCCUCUUCCCUAAUUUGAAAGUAGCUUGUUAUUUUGAAUAUCACUUUCUCUGAAAUAGCACAUCUCCAUCUCAGAGAAUGGAUUUAAUGUUUGGAUACAGCCAAAAGUCAUUUCAUUACCAAACCAUGGGGUGAAUAUACCAUGUAAAGCAGUUUGGGAUCAGAACUCACAGUCUGAAUUGUAAGUGAUGAGACUGCUGUCUCUCUGCUACAGCUUCUUGGCUGGCUCUGAAGGCUCUUUGAAGGCAGAUCCUAACAAGGGGACUGCUUUGAAGGGCCAUUGUUCAUUUGGAAUGAUAAAGUCUAUGUUGUUCAAAAAACAAAUGCUUGUAGCAGGUAUUUUUUCACUCCAGACUGAGAAUAUUGGUGGGAUAUUGAUAAGGGGUACUGAAUGGUAAUAAACAUGUGCUCUAGCUCUGUGCUAGUCAGCUUAUUUCAGAACUCUAGUUUGAUUCAGUUUCUUGCCUCUGACUCAAAAUGGAGGGAGAGUGAUUUUUACAUAAGAGAACACACCCACAUAUCCUUUUGGCAGCAGCUACCUGCCAGAGAUGUUGAAGAAGAGUAGCCAACCUUUACACAGCAGAUAUUGUGUGCCAGUCAUAGUCCUAAGUAUAAUACCUUACAUGUAUAAACUUCUUAUAAGGUUGGUGCUCUGUACCGAAUUGAAUAGUAUCCCCCAAAAUUCAUGUUGUCCCAGAACCUAUGAAAGUGAUCUUACUUGAGGGAGGGGGGAGGGGGGAGGGAUAGCAUUAGGAGAUAUACCUAAUGCUAAAUGACGAGUUAAUGGGUGUAGCACACCAGCAUGGCACAUG
rnacentral:lncRNA from 1 species